CCUACGGGGGGCAGCAGUGGGGAAUCUUUUACAAUGCACGAAAGUGUGAUAAAGUGAGCCAAAGUGCUUAUCAAUGAUAAGCUUUUUUUCUGUGUAAAAAUCAGGAAGAAUAAGGACUGGGAAAGACCGGUGCCAGCCGCCGCGGUAAUACCGGCAGUUCAAGUUGCAUCCAACUUUAUUGGGUCUAAAACAUCCGUAGCUUGUUUAUUAAGUCUUUUGUGAAAUCCUACGUCUCAAGCGUGGGGCUUGCAGGAGAUACUGAUAAGCUAGAGACCGGUAGACGUAAGGAGUACAAUCAAGGUAAUGGUUAAAUAUGUUAAUCUUGGUUGGACUAACAAUUAGCGAAGGCACCUUACGAGGACGGAUCUGACAGUGAGGGAUGAAGGCCAGGGGCGCAAAACGGAUUAGAUACCCGUGUAGUC
rnacentral:rRNA from 1 species